rnacentral:rRNA from 1 species
GAUGAACGCUGGCGGCGUGCCUAAUACAUGCAAGUCGAGCGAACAGACGAGGAGCUUGCUCCUCUGACGUUAGCGGCGGACGGGUGAGUAACACGUGGAUAACCUACCUAUAAGACUGGGAUAACUUCGGGAAACCGGAGCUAAUACCGGAUAAUAUAUUGAACCGCAUGGUUCAAUAGUGAAAGACGGUUUUGCUGUCACUUAUAGAUGGAUCCGCGCCGCAUUAGCUAGUUGGUAAGGUAACGGCUUACCAAGGCAACGAUGCGUAGCCGACCUGAGAGGGUGAUCGGCCACACUGGAACUGAGACACGGUCCAGACUCCUACGGGAGGCAGCAGUAGGGAAUCUUCCGAAAUGGGCGAAAGCCUGACGGAGCAACGCCGCGUGAGUGAUGAAGGUCUUCGGAUCGUAAAACUCUGUUAUUAGGGAAGAACAAAUGUGUAAGUAACUAUGCACGUCUUGACGGAACCUAAUCAGAAAGCCACGGCUAACUACGU